rnacentral:lncRNA from 1 species
GAAAAGCAAAACCAUUUACCGAUGGUUAGAACUUGAUAUUUACCGAUAUCAACUUCAGCCAGACCAUUUACCGAUGGCUGCUGGGAAACAGAUUUUGAUGUAGAAAGGAAGCAAGACCAUUUACCGAUGGUGGCUUCAAAGAAACUUGACAUUUACCGAUGUCAACUUAGCAAGACCGUUUACCGAUGGCUGCUGCAACUGGG